rnacentral:rRNA from 1 species
AGAGUUUGAUCAUGGUUCAGGAUGAACGCUGGCGGCGUGCCUAACACAUGCAAGUCGAACGGAAGCUUAACGCUGACGAGACUUCGGUCAAAUCUUGUUAAGCUUUAGUGGCGGACGGGUGAGUAACGCGUGGGCAACCUGCCUCAUACUGGGGGAUAGCAGUUGGAAACGACUGAUAAUACCGCAUAAGCGCACGGUGUCGCAUGACACAGUGUGAAAAACUCCGGUGGUAUGAGAUGGGCCCGCGUCAGAUUAGCUAGUUGGUAAGGUAACGGCUUACCAAGGCGACGAUCUGUAGCCGGACUGAGAGGUCGGACGGCCACAUUGGGACUGAGACACGGCCCAAACUCC